AAGUCUGGUGCCAGCAGCCGCGGUAAUUCCAGCUCCAAUAGCGUAUAUUAAAGUUGUUGCAGUUAAAAAGCUCGUAGUUGAAUUUCGGGGUUAGUAGGUUGGUCAUGCCUCUGGUAUGUACUGAUCUCACUGAUUCCUCCUUCCUUAUGAACCGUAAUGCCAUUAAUUUGGUGUUGCGGGGAAUUUGGACUGUUACUUUGAAAAAAUUAGAGUGUUUAAAGCAGGCUAACGCUUGAAUACAUUAGCAUGGAGUAAUGAAAUAGGACGUUCGAUCUUAUUUUGUUGGUUUCUAGGAUUGACGUAAUGAUUAAUAGGGAUAGUUGGGGGCAUUAGUAUUCAAUUGUCAGAGGUGAAAUUCUUGGAUUUAUUGAAGACUAACUACUGCGAAAGCAUUUGCCAAGGAUGUUUUCAUUAAUCAAGAACGAAAGUUAGGGGAUCGAAGACGAUCAGAUACCGUCGUAGUCUUAACCAUAAACUAUGCCGACUAGGGAUCGGAUGAUGUUAAUUUUUUAAUGACUCAUUCGGCGCCUUACGGGAAACCAAAGUGUUUGGGU
rnacentral:rRNA from 1 species